CGAGAAAGCCCGCAAGGGUGAGUAAAGCGGCGCACGGGUGCGUAACACGUGGGUAAUCUGCCCUGGAGCCCGGAGCAACUCGCCGAAAGGCGAGCUAAUGCCGGAUGAGACCACGGGGGCUUCGGCCCCUGAGGGAAAAGGUGGCCUCUGUACACAAGCUAUCACUUCAGGAUGAGCCCGCGGCCCAUCAGCUAGUUGGCGGGGUAAUGGCCCACCAAGGCGACGACGGGUAGCUGGUCUGAGAGGACGAUCAGCCACACUGGAACUGAGACACGGUCCAGACUCCUACGGGAGGCAGCAGUGGGGAAUCUUGCGCAAUGGGCGAAAGCCUGACGCAGCAACGCCGCGUGUGUGAUGAAGGUCUUCGGAUCGUAAAGCACUGUCGCGAGGGACG
rnacentral:rRNA from 1 species